GAUGAACGCUGGCGGCGUGCCUAAUACAUGCAAGUCGAGCGAACGGACGAGAAGCUUUCUUCUCUGAUGUUAGAGGCGGACGGGUGAGUAACACGUGGAUAACCUACCUAUAAGACUGGGAUAACUUCGGGAAACCGGAGCUAAUACCGGAUAAUAUUUUGAACCGCAUGGUUCAAAAGUGAAAGACGGUCUUGCUGUCACUUAUAGAUGGAUCCGCGCUGCAUUAGCUAGUUGGUAAGGUAACGGCUUACCAAGGCAACGAUGCAUAGCCGACCUGAGAGGGUGAUCGGCCACACUGGAACUGAGACACGGUCCAGACUCCUACGGGAGGCAGCAGUAGGGAAUCUUCCGCAAUGGGCGAAAGCCUGACGGAGCAACGCCGCGUGGGUGAUGAAGGUCUUCGGAUCGUAAAACUCUGUUAUUAGGGAAGAACAUAUGUGUAAGUAACUGUGCACAUCUUGACGGUACCUAAUCAGAAAGCAACGGCUAACUACGUG
rnacentral:rRNA from 1 species